rnacentral:tRNA from 1 species
AUGGCUUAGUGGUUCAGAGCACUGACUGUUUUUCCAGAGGUCCUGAGUUCAAAUCUCAGU